rnacentral:rRNA from 1 species
AUUGAACGCUGGCGGCAUGCUUUACACAUGCAAGUCGAACGGUAACAGGCCGCAAGGUGCUGACGAGUGGCGAACGGGUGAGUAAUGCAUCGGAACGUGCCCAGUCGUGGGGGAUAACUACUCGAAAGAGUAGCUAAUACCGCAUACGAUCUAUGGAUGAAAGCGGGGGACCGUAAGGCCUCGCGCGAUUGGAGCGGCCGAUGUCAGAUUAGGUAGUUGGUGGGGUAAAGGCUCACCAAGCCAACGAUCUGUAGCUGGUCUGAGAGGACGACCAGCCACACUGGGACUGAGACACGGCCCAGACUCCUACGGGAGGCAGCAGUGGGGAAUUUUGGACAAUGGGCGCAAGCCUGUUCCAGCAAUGCCGCGUGCAGGAAGAAGGCCUUCGGGUUGUAAACUGCUUUUGUACGGAACGAAACGGCUCUGGUUAAUACCCGGGGCUAAUGACGGUACCGUAAGAAUAAGCACCGGCUAACUACGUG